UGGGGAAUUUUGCACAAUGGGGGAAACCCUGAUGCAGCGACGCCGCGUGAUUUAGAAGGCCUUCGGGUUGUAAAAAUCUUUUCUAUGGGAAGAAAAUGACAGUACCAUAGGAAUAAGGACCGGCUAAUUACGUGCCAGCAGCCGCGGUAAUACGUAAGGUCCGAGCGUUGUCCGGAAUCAUUGGGCGUAAAGGGUACGUAGGCGGGUAAGCAAGUUAGAAGUGAAAUCCUAUAGCUCAACUAUAGUAAGCUUUUAAAACUGCUCAUCUUGAGGUAUGGAAGGGAAAGUGGAAUUCCUAGUGUAGCGGUGAAAUGCGCAGAUAUUAGGAGGAAUACCGGUGGCGAAGGCGACUUUCUGGCCAUAACCUGACGCUGAGGUACGAAAGCGUGGGUGGCAAACAGG
rnacentral:rRNA from 1 species